rnacentral:rRNA from 1 species
UUUUUUGUCUGUGUGUGUCCUAAAGACAUCAGAUCCCAUCUGAUCUUGAAAGCUAAGCAGAGUCAGCCUUGAUUAGUAUAUGGAUGGGAGACUACUAAUGAAUACAAUGUGCUGUAAGAU